rnacentral:rRNA from 1 species
GACGAACGCUGGCGGCGUGCUUAACACAUGCAAGUCGAACGGAAAGGCCCUGCUUUUGUGGGGUGCUCGAGUGACGAACGGGUGAGUAACACGUGAGUAACCUGCCCUUGACUUUGGGAUAACUUCAGGAAACUGGGGCUAAUACCGGAUAGGAGCUCCUGCUGCAUGGUGGGGGUUGGAAAGUUUCGGCGGUUGGGGAUGGACUCGCGGCUUAUCAGCUUGUUGGUGGGGUAGUGGCUUACCAAGGCCUUGACGGGUAGCCGGCCUGAGAGGGUGACCGGCCACAUUGGGACUGAGAUACGGCCCAGACUCCUACGGGAGGCAGCAGUGGGGAAUAUUGCACAAUGGGCGGAAGCCUGAUGCAGCAACGCCGCGUGCGGGAUGACGGCCUUCGGGUUGUAAACCGCUUUCGCCUGUGACGAAGCGUGAGUGACGGUAAUGGGUAAAGAAGCACCGGCUAACUACGUG